CAAGAAUUCAAAACAAUCGGUUGCAAAGUUAUUAGUUAUUGGAUGAAAUGUCGUUGCCUAUUAAGCAAGAGCAAAGACUUCCUUCUCAUCAGGAGUCUCAACGGGUGGUUUUACCACACGAUGAAACUCCAGAAGAACUUCAUCAGGAGAAUCCUGACGCAGGGCCUAAGCGACUAACGAUUGAGGAGUAUAGGGCCCGAAAAGAACUUGAUGAAAAAAAGAGAAGCAGAGGAAAACACCGGGGAGGGCGAAAGCAUCGCGCCAGAAGACUUAGAAAAUUAAAGUGGUUAGUUCGGGAGGAGUUUAUCGCGGCAUUGAAAGACUCUGAUGAACCAGAGGAGUCGUGAUAAUUUAUCAUUCAGCAAUUUAGAAAUAAAACUUUUUUUAAUUUUCUUAUACAAUUUAGAAUUUCAUACCUAAGUGGAUUAAACAAAAUUCGGUGUUCAAAAAUAAACGCAAAACUUUUUUUU